rnacentral:sRNA from 1 species
UAAUCCGUUAGGUGAGGUAACCACAGGGAUAAUCAAAUUAAUUUUGAUAUUAUACUUUUCAGUUAAUGGGUUGCUGCCGCGAAGGUGUGGAGACACACCGAGUUGGUUAGCAGAUUAUGUCGAAAAAGCAAGGCAUAAUUUAAUGCAACUUCAACGCCCUGCGAUGCCAAAGCUCAGACGGUGGCA